UACGUAGGUGGCAAGCGUUGUCCGGAAUUAUUGGGCGUAAAGCGCGCGCAGGCGGUCCUUUAAGUCUGAUGUGAAAGUCCACGGCUCAACCGUGGAGGGUCAUUGGAAACUGGGGGACUUGAGUGCAGAAGAGGAAAGCGGAAUUCCACGUGUAGCGGUGAAAUGCGUAGAGAUGUGGAGGAACACCAGUGGCGAAGGCGGCUUUCUGGUCUGUAACUGACGCUGAGGCGCGAAAGCGUGGGGAGCAAACAGG
rnacentral:rRNA from 1 species